UGCAUGGACACGAGGGCUAGAACAUAGGGCCAAACUGGAUAAGAAUGAAAGGUUGCUUGAUUUUGUGCGCAAGUUGGAGGCUUCAUGCAUUGAGACUGUAGAAGCAGGAAAAAUGACGAAGGAUCUAGCUAUUUUGAUUCAUGGCCCUAAGGUGUCGAGGGAGUUUUAUUUGAACACGGAAGAAUUUAUUGUUGCUGUUGCACAGAAUCUCGAGGCAAAGCUUCGGGAACCUGCAGUUGUUUAACCACACAUUUAGAAUCACCACUUAGCACUCUCUUUCUCGGCACCCUCC
rnacentral:misc_RNA from 1 species